GCGCAAUCUGCAGUCGAGCGGACAGAUGGGAGCUUGCUCCCUGAUGUUAGCGGCGGACGGGUGAGUAACACGUGGGUAACCUGCCUGUAAGACUGGGAUAACUCCGGGAAACCGGGGCUAAUACCGGAUGCUUGAUUGAACCGCAUGGUUCAAUUAUAAAAGGUGGCUUUUAGCUACCACUUACAGAUGGACCCGCGGCGCAUUAGCUAGUUGGUGAGGUAACGGCUCACCAAGGCAACGAUGCGUAGCCGACCUGAGAGGGUGAUCGGCCACACUGGGACUGAGACACGGCCCAGACUCCUACGGGAGGCAGCAGU
rnacentral:rRNA from 1 species